GACGAACGCUGGCGGCGUGCUUAACACAUGCAAGUCGAACGCUGAAGCUCAGCUUUUGUUGGGUGGAUGAGUGGCGAACGGGUGAGUAACACGUGAGUAACCUGCCCCCUUCUUUGGGAUAACGCCCGGAAACGGGUGCUAAUACUGGAUAUUCACUGGUCUUCGCAUGGGGGUUGGUGGAAAGGGUUUUUCUGGUGGGGGAUGGGCUCGCGGCCUAUCAGCUUGUUGGUGGGGUGAUGGCCUACCAAGGCUUUGACGGGUAGCCGGCCUGAGAGGGUGACCGGUCACAUUGGGACUGAGAAACGGCCCAGACUACUACGGGAGGCAGCAGUGGGGAAUAUUGCACAAUGGGCGCAAGCCUGAUGCAGCGACGCCGCGUGAGGGAUGGAGGCCUUCGGGUUGUGAACCUCUUUCGCUCAUGGUCAAGCCGCAACAAUGGUUGUGGUGAGGGUAGUGGGUAAAGAAGCGCCGGCUAACUACGUG
rnacentral:rRNA from 1 species